GACGAACGCUGGCGGCGUGCUUAACACAUGCAAGUCGAACGGUAAGGCCCUUCGGGGUACACGAGUGGCGAACGGGUGAGUAACACGUGGGUGAUCUGCCCUGCCCUUCGGGAUAAGCCUGGGAAACUGGGUCUAAUAGCGGAUAGGACUCCGGACUGCAUGGUCUGGGGUGGAAAGAUUUUGCGGUGUGGGAUGGGCCCGCGGCCUAUCAGAUUGGUGGUGGGGGGGUGGCCUACCAAGGCGACGACGGGUAGCCGGCCUGAGCGGGUGACCGGCCACACUGGGACUGAGAUACGGCCCAGACUCCUACGGGAGGCAGCAGUGGGGAAUAUUGCACAAUGGGCGCAAGCCUGAUGCAGCGACGCCGCGUGAGGGAUGACGGCCUUCGGGUUGUAAACCUCUUUCAGCAUCGACGAAGCGAAAGUGACGGUAGGUGCAGAAGAAGGACCGGCCAACUACGUGCCAGCCGCCGCGGUAA
rnacentral:rRNA from 1 species